rnacentral:tRNA from 1 species
AAAGUAAUUGAUUUGCAUUCAAUAGAUGUAGGAUAUAAUCUUGCAGUCCCUA